CAUGUUAUUUUAAAAAAAUUUUUUAUAGUUUAAAAAGAAGAAAAGCAGCAGCCUGCAGACUGAACCCUCCACCGCGGCUGGUGGGAACGUGGCCGGGGCCCGUCACUGUGGGCGUCCGGCAGCUUCUCGAGAGGCCGGGCAGACACCCGCCGCGGGAUCCCGCAAACCUGCUCCGAGAAGGCGUGGCCCACCUCCAUGCAAACACCUGAGGCCAGGUGUCCCCAGAGGCCUGACUCAGAACGGCCCACGUGGCCCUUCCUUGGGGAGGAGGGGGAGCAGGGGCGGCCACACUCGGGGUCCCACUUGGCGCUGAAGGGACCGGCCCCUGGCACGGUGACGGUCCGCUGACGGACAGAGCCAGGGCGGAGGGCGGCGUGCUGCAAAUCCCACGUGUGCGGCCUUCUGGGAGGGGCCAAGCGGCCGGGACCGGCACCGGGCCUGGGGCAGAAGGGCUGACCACAGAGGGGCGGGGGACUCCGGGGCCGUGGCAGUGUGCUGCUCUCAACUGUGGCGGUCCCACGACCGUGUGCGUCUGUCAGAACCAGCCAAACCGUUCGCUCAAGUAGGGGCGGGGCAGCAAGAAGGCCCCCACCAGACGCCAGCCCUCAGUCUUACUUAGACUUAUAGAAGUGACCCAGAAGCGUGAGCCCCGAAGUUUCCGUUCCAUGUAAAUUGCCUGGUCCUGGUGUUCUGUUUUGGUAGCACGAAGUCGCCUAAGACAGCUCCCUUCUGUCCAGGCCUGUGCCCAGCGAAAGAGGCACUGCCCAGGGGCCCCUGCCUCUGGGGAGGGGACUGCUGGGCACUUCCAGGGGGUUUCAUUUCAGGGAAGCCUUUCGGCCACUGCUAUUUCCACGGUGACGUGACAGGCAAAUCAUGUCACACUCCAGCUUCCCAGGACCUUGACGCCAAGUGUCGCCCCUGACGCCCCCCACCCCCCAAGAACGGAGCUCGAGUUCCUCCUUUGGCCGCGCCCUGGGACCUGGAGCCUGCUGCCGCGUGGCGUUCUGCGCUCUGGCCGUGGUAGGCGCCACGCACACGUGGCCAGACACGCACUUGAUCUGCAAUGGGGGGAGGGGUGCAGCUCCCCUGCCCCCUCUCCUGCAGUGCCACCGCCCCGCCCCCUCUGCUGAGUCAUGUGGCCCGGCUCUGGGGCAGCGGUGACUUCUGUCACAGUAAUGUUUCUGGUUGAGCUGUGGUGGCCCAAUGUCCUUCCUGCCCCCUGAGAGGAAAGUUUCGGCUCUGGAAAAUUACCAGGCCGGAAGUGAGGGGAGUUUCUGCCCUGGGGUGGUUUGGGAGUGAAGUUUCGCAGGUCGGUCUCCGCCAGCAGGGAGAAACACUGGCUUCCGGUAACUUCUCAGGGCAGAUUUCCUGCCUCUCCCGCUGCCAGGAACGCUACGCCCAACUUGUCCUGACCUGGUCAAGCCGGCGUGGUCAGAGGGGAUGCUCAGCCUCUGGGGCAGGUGCGGACUCUACCCACUUGCCAGGCACACGGACCCUUCUGGAAAGUGUUCCCGGAGACUGAUCCCUCCCCCAGCCCUCUGUAGGGAAACCCCGUUUCUGGCUACCUGGAAGCCAGGCAGACGCCUGGGGAGGCUCAUUGCCAGUUAAAUCAUUACAGCAGGAACACUCGGCCAACCAGGUGAGCAAGGCUGGAGGGACCAGAGGGGCAGGUCUAUAGAAGUGCCACCCUGGACCCCCUGCCUUCCUCACUCCUCCUCCUCUCUCUCCCGAGGGUGCCCGACUCCCUCUGGGUUCCCUCCAGUGCUGGGAGCCUCUCACGCCCGCAUGCAGCACACACCAGCACACACGCAAACUCACUGUCAGGGCUGUGGACCAGCGUGAGCAGCCUGGGCUAGUCUGGGACGGCUCUGGGGCCGGAGGACCAAGCCCCUGCACAGAACCACGACCCCCACAGCUCAGGGGCAUCACACGGCCACCGCUGUGGGGGGUCCUGUCUCCCCAGGUGGCUGAAUGCGAGCAGCUGUGCAAAGGCCCUGUGGCAGGAAGGAGCUGGGCAUGCCCCAGGACGAGAGGGGGUCAGUGGUGUCAGGGGAAGAGGACCCAGGGGCAGGAUUGGGGCUCAAGAGCCCUCCAGAGCAGCGGAGACAUAUCAAAAUCCAAAUUUCUGCAGGUCACUGGCUUUUAUAUGGACGAGUCCAGGCAGCUGACGGGCUGGGACCUGGGGGGCUCAGAGGGGGUGUGGUGUCAGGGCAGACUCUCCGCAGAGCAGAAGAGGGAUUACGAAAGGAGAGCAGUUUGCACAACCAGGCCCUGAGCCUGGGCGCAGGCCCUCAGUGACGCCGGCCAGGGGCUGGCCAGGACGCCCACUCCCCUGUCUCCGUGCCUGUCCCCUGCGGCAGCCACUGCCCACGUGGGGCCCCUGAGCUCUGGGCGUGUGGCCCAGAGACUUUUCUUUUAUUAAGCCUUAAUUAAUCUAAAUUUAGAGCUUAAAACCGAUACUCAUUUGAACUAUUGAAGACUUAUAAGCAUGCUUGGAACAAUGUAGGUGAGGGAACAUACUUUUUAUUGUGAAUUUUAUGAAAUCCAAGUGCAGCCAAGGAUUCCGAUGGAAAUUUCGUGUCUGAACUGAGAUGGGCUGUGAGUGCUAAACACACACCAGAUUUUUAAAGACUUAGUAGAAAAAAGGAAAGUAAAGUGCUCUUUAAUAAUUCUUCGUAUUGCUUACGUAAUAUUUUGGCUACCAUGAAUUUAAAUAAAAGAUGUUACUGAAAUUAAUUUCAGCUGUUCGUUUUCCUUUCUUUUCAGUGUGGCUAGGAGAACAGGUAAAAUUACAGGUGUGGCUCCAUUGAGUUGUCAUUGGGCUAUUCCUGAUGCACAGAACUUUUUUACAAACGGGAAGGUUUUAAUGCACCAUCUAGUGGGAACUUUGAAAGGACAGCUCCUGGCCACGUGUGCAUCCCGUGGGUGUGAGUGUGGGGUGGCCGUGUGUGGGGUGGGCAGUGGUCCCUGCCCCAGAGAGGGACAGUGUGGAUGGGUCCCUAGGGUGGGCCUUCCCUCCCACCCUGAAACAAUGCUUCAGGUGGCCAGCCAAUGCUUCAGGUGGCCAGGGACAGAGUGGCUGGUCCCUGCUGAGCCCUUCUUUGUGGAAGGGGAGUGAGGGGUGAGACUGGCCACCAUCCAGAGGUGGGGGGCUGCUGCUCCCGGGGGAGUCUGGCCACACAGGACACCCUGCGGGGGGGGGGGCAGGAAGGCCCCGCUGUGUGGCAGGCCAUCCCCUGAGACCUCCCCUGGGAGCACUCACCUGGUGGGGGGGGGGAUUCCCUGGAUGGGGAGCCCCUGGGGGAGGGGCUGGCAGCGGUCCUGGGGGCCUCGCUGGUUGCUGAUGCUCUUGGCCUGUCCUGCUCCUGUCAAAGCGAGGCAGGAUGACUCACAGCCCCGCCCCCGCGCUCAGGAAGUGGCAGGUCAUGGGGGUCAUGGGGUUUCGGGUGACCUGUCACGGGGAGCCAGGGUGGAAACAUUGAAAAAGCCAUAAUUCUCUGGUGGGAUGAAGUCCCCGUCUUCCGGGUGGGCGGGGCAUUUCCCCAGGCACGACCCGUGGGUGGGGCAGGCCGGGUGGCUGGCGCAGGUGGGUGGGGCUGGCAGGGCUGAAACCCCACAGGAUGGCGCCCCGCUGGGUGCUGCCUCUGUUUCCCCUUCACGCCUCAGAGCACCAUCCAGAACUUCACCUCCACGUGACACCCCAUGUUCCGAGCCCAGGCUGGGGUGAGCCGCCUGCGCCACUGCACCUAGGUCCCCGAGGAGCUCAGGGCCGCCUGACUGAGGAGCACCAGUCCCGUCCCAUGUGCGCUCACCACCCACUCUGCAGCUCUUCCUUUUGGAAACAAACACGAGGACAAAGCCCAGAGGGCAGGAGGCACCACGGCCGGCUCCAGCAUGACAGCACCCACCUGCCCUGCCCGGGAAGCUGCCC